AAGGUUGAUCCUUAAAGGUUGUUUAUGGUGGUUCUCACUGCUUAUAACAGUGACGUCGUAGCCCCAAGAAAAAUAAGACACGUGCAUUCAAUUUAUUUGCCUCCUUGUUUUUGUUUUUGUUCAAGUGACCUUUAUAAGCAAUCGACCAUCGAAUGAAGUUGUUUCAGGGUAAUAUGCUUUCCUCAAAUAGUAUUUUACUUAAAAACAUCAUAUAAUUGAAUAUGAGAGUGGGGGAAGACAAGGUGGUAGAUGAGGGGUUGGUGGUUGGGUGGGUGGGAAAAGAAAAAUAAGUAAAAAAAUUAAACAAUUCAACGUUGUGUGUGUUAAAAACUAUCUGUAAAAAAAAAAAAAAAAAAAAAGUUGAGAGCCUGUCCUAUAGUGUAAGAUACUUUAUAAGGCUUUGAACACAGGGCAAAUCCUUUUUGUGAGGAAUAAUUUUUGGAGAAAAAUACCUUCUAUUUGGGCAUAUAAUAUAUACACAUGUCUCCACUCUUCUUGUUGCUAUCAGCUUCUAGCCUCCAGAAAAACGUCUCAAAUAUCCAUUGAUGUUCUAGACUCUGAGUUCCUUGAGGGCAACACUUUAAUUUUUACUAUCCUCAGAACAUGGUAUGGGGCCUAGCCUGAAGUGAGUCCUCAUUAAACAUUUGUUGAAUGAAUGAAUGGAUGAGUAAGUGAAUGAAGGCACGCACGCACGGGUCAAUGAUGGUCAGUGACUUGUCCACGAUUAGACAGCAGUUAAGUUGCAGAGCCAUGACUGGCCUCAGGUCCUCUCACCCCUGCUCCAUUUCUUAUCCCCAUCCCUCCAGGGCUGUGUUACUCCCCGUCAUGCCUGGGCCCUUUCUAUCGCCACUCCCUGGCUUCUGACCAGCUUUCACACACAGGCAGAGUCGAGCUGUGUUGGCCACUGCUGCGGCCACUCACCACCGUGUAUGUUAUGUGUUCUGAGUGCAAAACGCACACCGAUUUCAAACACUUAGUACACACAAAAAAGAAUGUAAAGUAUCCCAUUAACAAUUUAUGUAUUGAUUACAUGUAGAAAUACGAUUUUAGGCACAUUAGGUUAAAUGAAAUGUUUUAAAAUUAAUUUCACUUCUUUAUACCUUUCUAGAAAUAUGCCUACUAGAAAAGCUAUAUUUAUAUCUGUGGCUUACAUUAUAUUUCUUUUGGACAGCCCUGAUAAGGAGGAUUAAGAUUUGUCUAGGAGUUUGGAGAACACUGGCCAGGGGACAAGCUAAGGUAGGCUCUGUCUUUUUGAAGCCUAUUUACAACAACUACAGGUUGGCCUGUAGACAAGCAAGUUCGGGGAUGGAAAUCUAGAAAAGCAUGCUCCUCUGCGGGACCCUACUGUCCACUCCUACGGAAACAUGUACUGCUCGGACCCUCAGCCCACCCAUGAGUUCAAAGGGUUAAAAGGGACACACCAGCAAAUGCUCAAAUCCCUUCUACCGUGGCUCCAUUGAACAGGGCAUCUGCCUGCUACCUAAGGACAACAAGACACCCCGACCAUGGAAAGCUUCCCUACCACGUCCUGUUCUCACUCAGACAUUGAAGUCGAUCAGAGGAGAAUAGAGGCCUGAUCAAGGACCCCGGUUUCCAUCUUGUGACAGCCUGUGUGUGUUGUUUGGAGACCCGAAUGACACGAUGUGCAGGAAGGUGGAUGGCAGAACUCACAGUGCCAGGUGUGAUCACAGGAGCCAAGCGAUGAUGCUGCUGCAUGUCCUCCCACACCCUUCCAGGAUGUUCUGCCGCAAACAGUGGCUGAGAGUCCCAGCCCCGGGCCAUCACUGUCUCCUUCCUAUGGCAUUUGUGUAAGAAACACCAGACAAGUAGCGGCAUC